rnacentral:lncRNA from 1 species
CCACCUCUACUAAAAAUACAAAAACUAGCAGGGUGUAGUGGUGUGCGCCUGUAGUCCCAGCUACUCGGGAGGCUGAGACAAGGGUUCUUAAUCUGGGUUCCAGCAACAUAGUUUUAGAGCAUCCAUAGAUGAAUUUCAGAGGAUCCAUGAAUCUCCUUACAUUAUAUGCAAAAUAUAAUCACAUAUGAUUAUGCAUUAUAUAUAAUUGUGGGUAUAGUCUAUUGAAUGAAGUAUAUUCCUGGGAGGCUGUGGCAAGAGGAUCACUUGAGCUUGGGGGUCUGAGACCAGCCUGGGCAACAUAGCAAGACCUUGUCUCUACAAAAAAGAAAAGAAGGCUGAAGUUUAGCUUAUUAAUUUGAAACCUUCUUUAAAUGCAGGCAUUUAAAGCUAUAAAGUUCUAUCUCAACACAGCUCCACUGCAUCCCAUAUGCUAUUGUAUAUCAACUUUUUCUUUCCAUUCACCCCCAAGUAUUUUCUAAUUUCCCUGUGAUUUCAUCUUUGAUCCACUGGUUACUUAGGAGUACAUUGUUUAACUUCCACCUAUUAGUAAAUUAUACCACUUUCCUUCUAUUGAUUUAUAGUUUCAUUCCAUUGUGGUAAGAGAACACAUUUUGUAUGAUUUCAGUAUUUUUAAGUUUAUUGAGAUGUUUUGUGGUCUGAAAUUUUGCAAAGAAUGUUUCAUGUGCACUUGAGAAAAAUAUGCAUUCUGCUGUUCAGUGGAGUGUUCUGUAUAUAUGUCUGUUAAAUCCAAUUGGUCUACAGAGUGGUUCAAGUUCCUUACUGAUCUUCUGUCAUGGUGUCCUAGCCAUUGGAAGUGGGGUACUGAAAUCUACAAUGAUUACUGUUGAAUUGUCUAUUUCUCUCCACUUAAAUUUUGCUUUAUGUAUUUUGGGGCUCUGUUAGAAAUAUGUGUGUACACGUAUAUACACACGUAUAUAAUUGGUACGUAUUCUUGAUGGGUUGAGUGUUUUAUUGUAUGUUGUUUCUGGCAAAAAAUAAUUUUCUUGAAGUCUAUUUUGUUGGAUAUUAUUCAUAUAACCACUCUAGCUCUCUUUCGGUUAUUGUUUGCAUGGAGUAUCUUUUUCCAUCCUUUUACUUUCAAUCUACUUGUGUGUCUGAAUCUAAAGUAACUCUUAUGUAGACAUAAAGGGACUGAAUUUUCAAAUCUGUUCUGCCAAUCUAAUUUAAAUAUCAUCUUUCUUUGAGACACCUUCAAAAAGCCCCAGCGCACUCAAUGUGUACUUUAAAAAUCACUGAUGUAGGCUGCGCGCAGUGGCUCACGCCUGUAAUCCCAGCACUUUGGGAGGCUGAAGUGAGAGGAUCACUUGAGGUCAGGUGUUUGAGACCAACCUGGCCAACAUGAUGAAAAUGCCAUCUCUACUAAAAAUAGAAAAUUAGCCAGGCAUGGUGGCAUGUGCUUGUAAUCCCAGCUACUCGGGAGGCUGAGGAAGGAAAAUCGCUUGAACCCAGGAAGUGGAGGCUGAAGUGAGCCAAGAUCAUGCCACUGCACUCCAGUCUGGGCAAUAGAGAGAGACUAAGUCUAAAAAAAUAAAAAAAUUCACUGAUGUAAUACAUGCUGGAAAUUAUUUAUGAAAGAACCCAAUAUUCUUUCAGAAUUUUGUCAGUAACUUACCAUGUGACCUAGAACCAGUUUCUUUUUCUAUUAAAGAUGAAAACUGUUACCACACAUGAUGCCAUCAUAGUAAGUAUUUUUAAAAGUGAGACUCAGAGUUGGCGUAACACCCACAGUAUUAGUAUGACAUGAACUGUGGAGAUAUAUCAGUAGCAAUGGCACCAACUCACCUGUAGUGAGUUGACUACAGGUGAGUUGCAAAACCAAAAAACCCACCAUCACUAACACGAACAAACAAAAAAACAGAAUUUACUAG